ACAGCAGUCGCCGCGGGAAUGCGAAGGGUGCAAGCGUUACUCGGAAUUACUGGGUGUAAAGCGUGCGUAGGUGGUGGUUUAAGUCCGUCGUGAAAGCCCUGGGCUCAACCUGGGAAUUGCAGUGGAUACUGGGUCACUAGAGUGUGGUAGAGGAUAGUGGAAUUUCCGGUGUAGCAGUGAAAUGCGUAGAGAUCGGAAGGAACAUCUGUGGCGAAGGCGACUAUCUGGGCCAACACUGACACUGAGGCACGAAAGCGUGGGGAGCAAACAGGAUUAGAUACCCCCGUAGUCUCUGUCUCUUAUAC
rnacentral:rRNA from 1 species